ACAGGUCUUAUUCAAAGGCUUUAAUUUCAGUUUAUAUACUUGUUAAAUAUAUUUAAAUGUUUGAGUUUUGUACUUAGCAUUAAAAAUAAAUCAAAAUACAAAAGGCAGUUACUGCUCCAGAAAUAUACAAGAGAGCCACUAUCAUACUUCUUGCAAAAGCCUCAGGUAUUAUCAAAUUAAGGGUUAAAUUUGGGGCUUUAAAGUCAAGUAUGACUGUGUAUUUGUGAACAGAUACCUAUUUAUGUGUUUCAUUAAUGUAUCUAGAAUCAGCCUUUUCUAACUGCUUGGUCAAGUAUGAAUUAAAGCAACAUAAAAAAUAAUGAAAUGAAUACUUACAGUACUGUCACUCCUUUGGAUUAUAAUUCUCCUUCCAGGAUGAUUGGUAUAACUCACUGAAAGAAAAAACAUAAAACAUCCUGUAUUUUUUUGUUGAAACUAUUCCUCUUCUGCUUAAGUUUCUUUCUACAUUUGUACAGCAGCAGUCACAUCAUAAGACUCAUCCCAGUUGAAUCUCUGAGAAUUAAGAAGUAUCAAGGAAAAUUUCUCAUCAUGUAAGAAUACUAUGCAGAUAAAAACUAUUAAAUGUCCAAAGUGGUCAUAUGCUCUAGAAACUAACAAUACUGUGAAAGGUUCGAUGGAAUUUAAUGAUUCUAUCUGUGCUUUUCCAAAGGGAUCAAGGGUUAAGAAUCACUCUCCCACAAAGGUGGGUGGAGAAGAAUCAAAUAUGUUAUUGGUUUCAAGUAAGUUUCCAUUUAUUGGGCUAUUUCUUCAUAUGCUGAAUUAGCAACAACAAAAAGUGUUCUAUCACAUUAUUUAUACAAAAAGCAGUAUUUUUGUAGACAGGUUUUUUCUUUUUUUAUGUAUAUGAUAGUUGUGUC
rnacentral:lncRNA from 1 species